rnacentral:rRNA from 1 species
ACGGCGAGUGAAGAGGGAAAAGCCCAAAUUUGUAAUCUGGCUCUUUUUAUAAGGGUCCGAGUUGUAAUUUUGAGAACUGUUUUCCGUGCUGGACCAUGUAAAAGUCUGUUGAAAAACAGCAUCAUUGAGGGUGAAAAUCCCGUACAUGAUAUGGACUACCAGUGCAAUGUGAUACAGUCUCUAAGAGUCGAGUUGUUUGGGAAUGCAGCUCAAAGUGGGUGGUAAAUUCCAUCUAAGGCUAAAUAUAGGUGAGAGACCGAUAGCAAACAAGUACCGUGAGGGAAAGAUGAAAAGAACUUUGGAAAUAGAGUUAACAGUACGUGAAAUUGUUAAAAGGGAAACAUUUGACGUUAGACUUGUUAUUGUUAGUUCAGCUUUUAUUAUUAAAGUGUUUUCUAAUGAUUAACAGACCAGCAUCAAUCUUUGAGUGUUGGAAAAGGGUUUUGGAAAUGUGGCAACCUUGGUUGUGUUAUAGUCCAUUACUUUGAUACAGUGCUUAAGAUUGAGGAACGCGGUGAGC